rnacentral:rRNA from 1 species
CAAUAGCGUAUAUUAAAAUUGUUGCGGUUAAAACGCUCGUAGUUGGAUAUCUGCUAAGGGGUUCCGGUACUUCCCAGUGAAGAAUACGCGGAACUCUUCUUGGCAUUUAUUCAGGGAAGGUGUUUGCACUUUGUUGUGUGUCACGUGAUCUGAAUUUUUACUUUGAGGAAAUGAGAGUGUUUCAAGCAGGCUUUCGCCGUGAAUAUGAUAGCAUGGAAUAAUAGCACAGGACCCCUUUCCAAAGCUGUUGGUUUUUGGAACGAGGUAAUCAGAAUAAGGAUAGUUGGGGGUAUUCGUAUUUAACUGUCAGAGGUGAAAUUCUUGGAUUUUUUAAAGACGAACUAUUGCGAAGGCAUCUGCCCAGGAUGUUUUUAUUGA